UGGGGAAUUUCGGACAAUGGGCGCAAGCCUGAUCCAGCCAUACCGCGUGAGUGAAGAAGGCCUUCGGGUUGUAAAGCUCUUUCAGCCGGAAAGAAAUCGCACUGGUUAACACCUUGUGUGGAUGACGGUACCGGAAGAAGAAGCACCGGCUAACUACGUGCCAGCAGCCGCGGUAAUACAGAGGCCCCAAGCGUUAUCCGGAAUCACUGGGCGUAAAGGGUGUCGAGGCGGUUGUAUUAGUCGUUCGUAAAAUCUACGAGCUUAACUUGUAGGCGGCGAACGAAACGGUACGACUUGAGGUUUGGAGAGGUGCGUGGAACUCACGGUGUAGGGGUGAAAUCCGUUGAUAUCGUGGGGAACACCAAAGGCGAAGGCAGCGCACUGGCCAAAAUCUGACGCUCACACACGAAAGCUAGGGUAGCGAAGAGGAUUAGAUACCCACGUAGUCCCUGAGCGGGCUGGCAAGGCGCAU
rnacentral:rRNA from 1 species